rnacentral:rRNA from 1 species
UACGGAGGAUCCGAGCGUUAUCCGGAUUUAUUGGGUUUAAAGGGUGCGUAGGCGGACGCUUAAGUCAGCGGUAAAAUUGCGGGGCUCAACCUCGUCGAGCCGUUGAAACUGGGUGCCUUGAGUGGGCGAGAAGUACGCGGAAUGCGUGGUGUAGCGGUGAAAUGCAUAGAUAUCACGCAGAACUCCGAUUGCGAAGGCAGCGUACCGGCGCCCAACUGACGCUGAAGCACGAAGGCGUGGGUAUCGAACAGG